UGUAGGGUUCUAUUCUAAAAAACUGGUUAUAUGUGAUUGAUUUUUACUGCAACAGCUUCUAGUAAAAAUUGUUGGAAAUGAUUUGAAAUGAUUUGGAAAAAAUUUGAGUGUCAUUCUGAGUGUCAAAAAUGAUUUUCCACAGGACUCCUAGACUAUAGCCCAAAUCAUUUUCAUUACACUUUUUGGUGCUGCUAUGGGACAAGAAUUGAGUCUUUCUCAAAACUAUACUUUGAAGAAGCGGGCAAAGUUGCAGGGCUUUACAUCAUCCAGUACAUAUCGAACUCACUUAAUUGGAAAUUUGGAUAGAUUUCACUAAAUCAGAAGACCAAGUCAGGAAAAAAUGUGAGCCCAGCAAUCCAAAUUUUUGGCAAGCAUUACUUCAAUUACAAAUGAUGGAUUGAAUGGUUCAGAAGGUGGAGAAGAAGCAUGCCCCUCUGAUAUCAAAAGCGACACUGGAGAGCCUACACAAGAUAAAUCCAGGCUUCUGAGUCUCAUUGACAGAGGUCCCCCAUCAUGGGAACAAGUUUGCUAGUCAAACGAGGAACACCUAAAAAUUUUUAUAGUAAGUUUUGGGGUUAGUAUUUUUUGAAGCUAUUUCUCUUGUUCCUAGAUUAUGACCUAAGGGUUAUGAACUUAUGAUCUUCUAUGUGUGAAGGAAGUAGAUUUUUUUGAGAAUGAUUGCUCAAAACUGUUUCUUACUAUUGUUACAAAUAUAAUUAUGUCUCAAUCACUUGAGAAUCCCAGGACUUUAAAGCUUUUACUAAGGAACCAUGAACUAAAGCAUCAGGGGGUGUCGUGUAAUUUACCCUUUCAAUUUUGAGUGUUUGUUCGUGGCUUUGCCUCCAAUAGAGUAUUUUCUUAAAUGUUUUCCUGUCCUUUAACAAGAAAAUGCCUCUCAGGAGAUUUUAGUUGUGGAAAAGCAAGCUUUCUUAACUUCCCUUGUUCCAGAAUUCUUUCAUGAUAUCCCGACAACCAAAAGGAAUAAAGUGAUUCUGCAGCAACGCUUUAAACUUGCCUUCAUUUCAAGGUUCCUUCAGCAUGCAUAAUUAAUUGAACAUUGCUACAUAGGCAUACACUUGUAACUAAAGUUUUCUGUCUGUCUUUUCACAGUUGCGAUAAUAUUGAUAAAGUAGGGUUUCUUUAAACAUGUUGCUAGACAUGUGCAUGUAUUGAAAAGGCAUAUGUAAUGUUUUUACACUGCUAAUACAGGUAU